GUCGCGAAAACUUCACACUGGGGGCAACCCCGAUGAGGGAAUUCCUAGUGCUAGGACAUUUGUUCUAGCUUUUCUCAAGCGUAGAUAACUUGAGGAAUAAGGGCUGGGUAAGACGGGUGCCAGCCGCCGCGGUAAUACCUGCAGCCCAAGUGGUGGUCGAUUUUAUUGAGUCUAAAACGUUCGUAGCCGGUCUGGUAAAUCCUUGGGUAAAUCGGGGAGCUCAACUUUCCGAAUUCCGAGGAGACUGCCAGACUUGGGACCGGGAGAGGCUAGAGGUACUUCUGGGGUAGGGGUAAAAUCCUGUAAUCCUAGAAGGACCACCGGUGGCGAAGGCGUCUAGCUAGAACGGAUCCGACGGUGAGGGACGAAGCCCUGGGUCGCAAACGGGAUUAGAUACCCCGGUAGUCCAGGGUGUAAACGCUGCAGACUUGGUGUUGGAGGCCCUUCGGGGGCAUUCAGUGCCGGAGAGAAGUUGUUAAGUCUGCUACUUGGGGAGUACGUCCGCAAGGAUGAAACUUAAAGGAAUUGGCGGGGGAGCACCGCAACGGGAGGAGCGUGCGGUUUAAUUGGAUUCAACACCGGAAAACUCACCAAGGGCGACCAUUACAUGAAAGCCAGGCUAAUGACCUUGCUAGAUUUUUGGAGAGGUGGUGCAUGGCCGUCGUCAGUUCGUACCGUAAGGCGUUCUCUUAAGUGAGAUAACGAACGAGACCCUCACUGAUAAUUGCUAAUCUAUUCUCCGGAGUAGAUGCACAUUAUUGGGACCGCUGACGCUAAGUCAGAGGAAGGAGAGGUCAACGGUAGGUCAGUAUGCCCCGAAUCUCUUGGGCUACACGCGCGCUACAAAGGGCGGGACAAUGGGCUCCGACGCCGAGAGGCGAAGGUAAUCUCGAAACCCGUCCAUAGUUCGGACUGAGGGUUGUAACUCACCCUCACGAAGCUGGAUUCCGUAGUAAUCGCGAAUCAACAACUCGCGGUGAAUAUGCCCCUGCUCCUUGCACACACCGCCCGUCAAACCAUCCGAGUUGGGUUUCAGUGAGGUGGCCUUUAAUUGGGGUCUUCAAACUGAGAUUUAGCAAGGAAGGUUAAGUCGUAACAAGGUAUCU
rnacentral:rRNA from 1 species